GACGAACGCUGGCGGCGUGCUUAACACAUGCAAGUCGAACGGAAAGGCCCUGCUUUUGUGGGGUGCUCGAGUGGCGAACGGGUGAGUAACACGUGAGUAACCUGCCCUUGACUUUGGUAUAACUUCAGGAAACUGGGGCUAAUACCGGAUAGGAGCUCCUGCUGCAUGGUGGGGGUUGGAAAGUUUCGGCGGUUGGGGAUGGACUCGCGGCUUAUCAGCUUGUUGGUGGGGUAGUGGCUUACCAAGGCUUUGACGGGUAGCCGGCCUGAGAGGGUGACCGGCCACAUUGGGACGGAGAUACGGACCAGACUCCUACGGGAGGCAGCAGUGGGGAAUAUUGCACAAGGGGCGGAAGGCUGAAGCAGCAACGCCGCGUGAGGGAUGACGGCCUUCGGGUUGUAAACCGUUUUCGCCUGUGACGAAGCGUGAGUGACGGUAAUGGGUAAAGAAGCACCGGCUAACUACGUG
rnacentral:rRNA from 1 species